GCAGGGGUACGGAAAUGGAAAACCGACCGGGUUGAGGUCCCGGGCCUUAGUGGCUGUAAGAGUUCGAUCCUCUUCCCCUGCAC
rnacentral:tRNA from 1 species